ACUGAAACACCGAUUCCCGUACGAUCACAGAAGUUAAGCAACGUUGAGCCUGAUCAGUAACUAGAUGGGUGACCGCUUGG